rnacentral:rRNA from 1 species
GACGUAGGGCGCGAGCGUUGUCCGGAUUUAUUGGGCGUAAAGAGCUCGUAGGCGGCUUGUCGCGUCGACUGUGAAAUCUCAGGGCUCAACCCUGGAAUGCCGGUGGAUACUGUCGGGCUAGAGUCCGGAAGAGGCGAGUGGAAUUCCUGGUGUAGCGGUGAAAUGCGCAGAUAUCAGGAGGAACACCGAUGGCGAAGGCAGCUCGCUGGGACGGUACUGACGCUGAGACGCGAAAGCGUGGGGAGCAAACAGG